GAUGAACGCUGGCGGCGUGCUUAACACAUGCAAGUCGAACGGGAUCCAAGGGGUGCUUGCACUUUUUGGUGAGAGUGGCGUACGUGUGAGUAACACGUAGUAACCUGUCCUUUUCUUUGGGAUAAGCAUUCGAAAGGGUGUUUAAUAUCUUAUUUUCUGUCUGCCUCGCAUGGGGUGGGUGGGAAAGGCUUUGGCCGGAUUUGGGUGGGCUCGCGGUCUAUCAGCUUGUUGGUGGGGUUAUGGCUUACCAAGGCUUUGACGGGUAGCCGGAUUGAGAGGUUGGUGGGUCUCAUUAGGACUGAGCUGCGGCCGCGGCUCCUGCGGGUGGCAGCGGUGGGAGAUUUUUCGCAUUGUGCGAAAGCCUGAUGCAGCGACGCGGCGUGGCGGAUCAAGGCCUUCGGGUUGUAAUUUUCUUUUGCGCUGGUCGAGGCAUGCCAGUGGGUGUGUUGAGUGAAGGGGUUGAUAAGCGCCGGCUAACUACGUG
rnacentral:rRNA from 1 species